rnacentral:tRNA from 1 species
GGGCAACUAGCUCAGCUGGUUAGAGCGUCUCGUUUACACCGAGAAGGUCGUAGGUUCGAAUCCUACGUUGCCCA